rnacentral:rRNA from 1 species
GAUGAACGCUAGCGGGAGGCUUAACACAUGCAAGUCGAGGGGCAGCACGGGUAGCAAUACCUGGUGGCGACCGGCAGACGGGUGAGUAACGCGUAUGUAACCUACCCUGUACAGGGGGAUAACCCGGAGAAAUUCGGACUAAUAUCCCAUAGAAAUAUUGGAAGGCAUCUUUUGAUAUUUAAAGUUCCGGCGGUACGGGAUGGGCAUGCGUAACAUUAGCUAGUUGGUAAGGUAACGGCUUACCAAGGCUUUGAUGUUUAGGGGUCCUGAGAGGGUGAUCCCCCACACUGGUACUGAGACACGGACCAGACUCCUACGGGAGGCAGCAGUGAGGAAUAUUGGUCAAUGGGCGCAAGCCUGAACCCAGCCAUCCCGCGUGCAGGAAGACGGCCCUAUGGGUUGUAAACUGUCUUUU